rnacentral:rRNA from 1 species
AGCAGCCGCGGUAAUUCCAGCUCCAAUAGCGUAUAUUAAAGUUGUUGCAGUUAAAAAGCUCGUAGUUGAAUUUCGGGAUCAAUAUAUCGGUCGUGCCUUUGGUACGUACUGGUAUCAUUGAUUUCUCCUUUCUGACGAAUCAUGAUGUCAUUAAUUUGGUGUUAUGAAGGAGUUAGGACUGUUACUUUGAAAAAAUUGAGUGUUUAAAGCAGGCAUUAGCUUGAAUACAUUAGCAUGGAAUAAUGAAAUAGGACGUUUGACCCUAUCUUGUUGGUUUUUAGGAUCGACGUAAUGAUUAAUAGGGAUAGUUGGGGGCACUAGUAUUCAAUUGUCAGAGGUGAAAUUCUUGGAUUUAUUGAAGACUAACUACUGCGAAAGCAUUUGCCAAGGAUGUUUUCAUUAAUCAAGAACGAAGUUAGGGGAUCGAAGACGAUCAGAUACCGUCGUAGUCUUAAACCAUAAACUAUGCCGACUAGGGAUCGGAUGAUG